CUGUGCUACUGGAAGAGGUGGAACCUGGCUGCACCUCUCCUGGACCCCAUUUAAGAGCUGACUGCCAGUGGGGAAGGGUCUCUUCUGGAGAUCAUUCCUUGUGGAGUUUACUGUGAGCCUACAACAUUGCAGAACACAUGGUUUUGCUUAGCACUGGCUGAGGAAUUACAAGCCGUAUGUCUUGAAUAUGUAUCUGCCAAGGGGAGCCAAUUAAGCUGCCGGCUGUGGGGCUGAGCUGCUGCCUCUCCGUGAACCUGGUGGAAAACUGAGAGAGAUUUUUCCUAAAGCUGAGCAAACUGGGCUUCUGGAAAGGCAGCUGGAGCCAAGAGCAGGCAGGGUGACUGGAAGGCGGAUGGAAACGUGCAAGAGAGCAGAAACACAAAUGUUUGGGCAGAGCUGGAAAACGCUUCCCACAGCCGACCACGCAGCUGCAGCUCAUGCCAAAUGCUGUUUGCUUUCUGGGUGAUGGAUUUGUCAUAAGGGCUAAGUUGCUGGGAUAGCUCAAAGUGAGCACAGCCAUGGCUGGUGCAGAGCUGGGCUCUGGGGGAGCAGCGUUACGCUUGGUGUUGGUGUGAUCUCAGGACACCGCUGCCAUCCCUGCGCUGGCACUGGGGAGGGUUGUGCCCAAUGAUGGGGACGUGCCCUCGGUCCCCCAUCUCAGUGAUGGCAUUGCAGGGUUGCUCCAUGUGAGCGCGGUCGGAGCCGUGCUGGAGCCCUGUUCAGUGGGACAAUGGGCAGCUCUGGGUGCAGCACUCGAGGUCUUCCUGCAGGCUUCCUGAGGGCUGCCCUCGCCCCGUCUGCAGCCCUGGGACACGCAGCCCGGCCAUGCAAGCACAGUGCAGAUGGGAACAGGUCCACUGCUGGUGCUGGGGAGGGAAGGAGAGCCCAAGUCUGGAGAGGGAACAGCGUCCUUCUCCCAUUCCCCCGUCAGCAGGUUGGCACUGAGGGCUGAUCACGUGCUCAUGUUGGAAUUUAAAGAAUAUCUUUGCUCGUGUUUGUUGAAAAGCACAAAAUGAAACCUUGCCUUGUUCAGUCUGUUCAGUCUCUCCCUUCCUUUCAGCUUUUUCAGCUAAUAAUAGGCACAUGUAAGCGAUUAGCAUAACCUCGUGUGACUUCCCUAGUGUUUGUGCAAUCCUCAACAUGUGCUUUAUCUUCUGGGCACCAAGUGAAAGCGUUUGGCACUUCUCACAGAGCAGCUUUGCCAUCCCUCUGGGAUGCUGAGCAGCCUCUAUAGCAGCCCCCCAUGCUCCCCACACCCAAAGAGGAUCAGUUACUUUGUUCUGAUCAAAAACACCUUUUAAAUUUAAUCAUUUAAUUUUCAAGGUAGUUGUUCACUUUGCCUGUGCUAUGUGGUUUCAGUCCUCGGUUCCCUUCUUCGUUGCUAACAGAGAUGUUGGGCAGCUGUGGGCUGCCUGGACAGGUCCUGUCUCCAUCCCGUUCUUCUGACCCCCACAUCCUUUCCCUUGCCUGGGUGGAGCGAUGCCAGAUGCCAAAGUUAGAGGGGAAAAAUGAACUACAAUCUCAGAAAAUACUUAUUAACCAUUCAAUAGUUGGGUCUUGGUGCCCCAUUUGCUCCAGCUGGGAAGCAGUUCCCAAAGGAGCCCAACUGUUUUGAAGGCUCAUUACUGACAUUGUGAACUAUGUACCACACCCAACGAGUUAAAGAACAACACAAGUAAUGCAGAGCAAAUGAGCAUUGGGAUUUACAGCUUGGCUGGUUACACAGGUUGUGGAUGAGCCGCUCUCUGCUUCAUGCCUGGGAUUAUUUUCCAGGCAGUCUGGGGGAGGUGGAGAAAUAAAAGCAGGUUUAUGCUGUCCACAAGAAGGGUGAUGCUGUGCUGCAGUAGCAGUGAGGAUAAUACUGAUCCUGCUGGAGCUCCUGCAGAUGGAGCAGAAAUGCCAUCGUGUGUGAGGACAGGUAGAGGAAGACGCACCACGAUUUGAGCUAUUUGGUUUAUCUCUGUUUGUGGCUUGGGGCUGGGAGUCUGGAAGUGUUUUGGCAUUUCCUAAAUGCCUCUGAUAAGCGGGGUAGGAGCCCCUCUUGGGAACCAGGGAAGGUCUGCUGGGAAUGGGAAAAGCCACGGCCAGGGCUGCGUGCAUGGGCUGAGCUGAGCAGCCCUGUGCUGGCAGAGCCAGGAUGCUUGUGGCUGCGUUUCUGAUGUCCCUGCUUCUAGGACAUGAGUAAUCAGCUCAUAGGCCA